AAUCAACGCUGGCGGCGUGCCUCAGACAUGCAAGUCGUACGAUUAAAGCUCUCUUCGGAGAGUGUAUAGAGUGGCGCACGGGUGAGUAACACGUAAGUAAUCUACCUUCGAGUGGGGAAUAACAGUCGGAAACGACUGCUAAUACCGCAUAAUGCAGCGGCACCUAAUGGUGACAGUUGUUAAAGCAUUUAUGUGCUUGAAGAGGAGCUUGCGGCAGAUUAGCUAGUUGGUAAGGUAAUGGCUUACCAAGGCAACGAUCUGUAGCCGACCUGAGAGGGUGGUCGGUCACACUGACACUGAAUAACGGGUCAGACUCCUACGGGAGGCAGCAGUCGGGAAUUUUGGGCAAUGGGCGAAAGCCUGACCCAGCAACGCCGCGUGAAGGAUGAAGUAUUUCGGUAU
rnacentral:rRNA from 1 species